rnacentral:lncRNA from 1 species
GUAACCGGUCAUCCCAGUAGUAGUCUCCCAGGUGCGCCAUCCUGCUCGCAGCCCGAUCCCGGGCUAGGGCGCCGAAGAAGCUGGGGGAAGGCGGCACCCGAGCUGCACGGCGUGCUCAUGGGGGUGGAGGGACAGCGAGCCCCCCGGCGAUGAGACGGCCGCACUGGCUGUAUGAUGCGGUCGGUCUCCACCGGCUCCUUUUUCACUUCAAACUUCAUCAGAUCGAAGUCAUUAACAUAUUCCAUGGCCAGGGGACUGGUGGGCAGGUCGGAGUUGCUCAUCGCCAGUUCCGUUGCCAUCCUCCUGCCGCCGCCGCCGCCGCCGCCGCUCCGCCAGAUGGGCUGCAGGAGAGGGGCCAGCGGGCUGUGCUGGGCGGCGAGCGGCCCGCAGGAGGAUCGAAGAGCGAGAACUAUUGUUGGACCUGGUUGGUUUGUGCCUCAACAGCGCCACCUUUCGGCAAAGGUCAGUGGACGGCGACGCGCGGCCGGUUCCGCCGCCGCGGGGAGAAGCUGCCUGCCCCGGGCGGGCCGGCGCGCAGAGUGGGUCCGCAGGCGGCGGGCGCGCAGAGUGGGUCCGCAGGCGGCGGGCGGCCCGGGCCUCGCACACAAGGGGCCGGAGACCCGGCUCGCAGGCCCCGGACCACAGCAGCCCGCGGGAGUCCUUGCGGCCGAGCCCUCUUGGCGCGCGUCCCCCCCAGCACCCCCCAGCACCCCGUCCCCCAGGGCCCCCCAACCCCACCCCAUCACCUCCCCAAUAACAGCCCUAGCCCAGAGCCGGGCUGGGUUUCCAGCGGGCUUCGCGGCGCUCUGGAGAGAAGUAAAGUUCUCUAA